rnacentral:lncRNA from 1 species
UGAACUAAACCCUUUGUUGUUGGGGAACAAUGUAAUUUUUUGAAACUCUCAUAUAUCCAAAUUCUUAUUUAUUUCAUAUGCUUGUCAUAUACUUGUUUAUCAAUUGUUGGGUUCUCAUCUUUGCUAAAUGCUUUUAUUGUUUAACUCAUUCAGUAAAUGUUGUUUGUCUUUAACGAUAUAGGGAUGUACGGUAAUGUCAUGAACUGGUGGGAAAUUCCUU